rnacentral:misc_RNA from 1 species
GAUGAAGAACGUAGCGAAAUGCGAUAAGUAAUGUGAAUUGCAGAAUUCAGUGAAUCAUCGAAUCUUUGAACGCACCUUGCACCCUUUGGCAUUCCGAAGGGUAUGCUCGUUUGAGUGUCAUUGUACUCUCACACUCUCCGAUCCUAUGGAUUCGGGGAGCGGUGGACUUGGGUGUUGCUGCCUUUCCCUGUGGCUCACCUCAAAUGCGUCAGUGCACCUCUUGGUUGGACAUAGUACGGCGUGAUAAGUGUCUUCGCCGGCACCUCGCAAGAGGGUGGCCGAUCGGGAGCUCUGCGCUUUCAAACCGUCUUCGGACAAUCUCUGACGACUUGACCUCAAAUCGAGUAAGACUACCCGCUGAACUUAAGCAUAUCAAUAAGCGGAGGA